UACCCUGUAGGUACGACCUUGCGUGUCCACAAAAAGGUUGCAAGGUUGUGACUACAGCGUACG
rnacentral:pre_miRNA from 1 species